rnacentral:lncRNA from 1 species
UUUUCAUCACUUUGAAAAGAAUAGACUCUUUUAUUGACUCUAUCUUUUUUAAUAAUUCAGGGCCAUCAUUAUUAACAUCAAGCUUGCAUUAUGCUGGAAUGUAGUGGUACCCUUUGGACUUCAUUAAACAUGCAUCCAUGUUUACUCCAGUAAUAAGUGGCUUAAGACAAGAGCAUUUUUCAACCUUUCUGGAGAGACAUGGUGGUUCCAUCUCCCACUUCUAUAUUCUGUCUCCUCCUGUGCUGCCAUAUGUCACUUCUUACAGAGUAUGACUUCCUAGAUAAGCAGCCCUUCCCUUCCCUCAUUCAAGACUCUUAAUUGGUAAAGCAUGUAACCAAGGUUGUUAGAGCUGUAUAGACAUAGGCUAUGAAUAGAAGACUGGAGCGUUGUCCUUUGAGAAAAAUACAUGAUUUUUAGUGCAUGGACCAUUUUCACAGAAUGAAGCAAUUCAUUUUUAAUCCUCUGAUUUUCAGCUUUGUAAUGGAUUAAUUUGGUUUGCUGCAUAACUCAAUUCCAAACAGAUUAGAUGUUAUUUUGUUACAUGUACAAAGAUCUGCUAUAGAGAGGCUAUAAAAUAACACUAUCACUACAGUACUUGCCAAAAAUAUCUAUUACUUCAGCUAUUAGUGGAAGACAGCCCCAUUUUGGGGGAUCUGGAAGUCUGAAAGUAUCACCCUGAGAAAUUUUGUCUGAAGAAUCUCUUGGUCUCACUAGUUGUCAGACUCGCAGGUAGUGCAUCUAGUUGCUCUCUUAGUUGGUAAUUUUUUUUCUUUCAUUCCAUAUUAAGUAUCAGCAGUUGGAAGAGAUGAAGGAAAUACAGAUGAUUCUCGCAGAAGUUUUUUUAAAAGAUUAUUUCAUCCUCCUCCAAUUUUGUUUUUCAAAAUAAUUCAGACAUGGUUAAAAAAAAAUAACCUUUUCUGUGUGUCACGCAAAGUAAGCUUCAGAAAGCACUGAUAAUAGAAUUAGUGACUGAAUUCAGGAAUAGAUUUGGUUAAAUGCCAUGUUUUCCACAUUGAAGAAUCAGACACUAAGCUUAUUUUCAAGAGUAGCUAGGAACUAUUCUAUGUCAAUGAGAGGCUUAUAAAAUAAGGACCAUACCUAUUUAGUUGCUAUCACUUCCUUCCAUAAUAUAUAUAGUAAAGGAAAUCUUAGUUGAAUGGUAAGACACCUCACAAGUUACUAUUUACCAUGGUAACUGUAUUAUGGUUCAGGAUCUGACCAUCAGAAAUUUGACUCCCUCAGCAUAUAAAGAGUAGUUAUUUCUUUUUUUUUUUUUCUUUUCUUUUUUUUUUUUUUUUUGCUGCGGGGGUUGGGGAGAGGAGUGGAGGAAUCUUGGAUUACACUAACCAAGGUAGCAGAGAUGGAUAGGUAAACCAGAAUUUUAUUUACUGUGAGAAAUAAAAUGACCGUGAAGGCUAGAAUGCUUGUUUCCCUAUAUACAGGUAGUCUCUUGAUUCUGUAGUCAAGCCAAAUUACCAGAUUGAAAAAAAAAAAAAAAAAAAAA